rnacentral:rRNA from 1 species
UACGUAGGGGGCAAGCGUUGUCCGGAAUCAUUGGGCGUAAAGAGCGUGUAGGCGGUUCGGUAAGUCGGCUGUGAAAGCCCGAGGCUCAACCUCGGAACUGCCUUCGAUACUGCGGGUCUCGAGUCCGGGAGAGGUGAGUGGAAUUCCUAGUGUAGAGGUGAAAUUCGUAGAUAUUAGGAAGAACACCAGUGGCGAAGGCGGCUCACUGGCCCGGUACUGACGCUGAGGCGCGAAAGCGUGGGGAGCAAACAGGG